UACGGGGGGAGCAAGCGUUGUUCGGAUUUACUGGGCGUAAAGGGCGCGUAGGCGGCCAGCACAAGUCAGUUGUGAAAUCUCCGAGCUUAACUCGGAAAGGUCAACUGAUACUGUGCGGCUAGAGUGCAGAAGGGGCAACUGGAAUUCUUGGUGUAGCGGUGAAAUGCGUAGAUAUCAAGAGGAACACCUGCGGCGAAGGCGGGUUGCUGGGCUGAUACUGACGCUGAGGCGCGAAAGCCAGGGGAGCGAACGGG
rnacentral:rRNA from 1 species